AUUGAACGCUGGCGGCAGGCCUAACACAUGCAAGUCGAAAGGAGUGGCGGACGGGGGAGUAAUGCCUAGGAAUCUGCCUGGUAGUGGGGGAUAACGUCCGGAAACGGGCGAUAAUACCGCAUAAUAACAGAUGAGCCCAGGUCGGAUUAGAUAGUUGGUUGGGUAAAGGCCCACCAAUGCGACGAUCCGUAACUGGUCUGAGAGUAUGAUCAGUCACACUGGAACUGGGCCACGUUCCAGACUCCUACGGGAGGCAGCAGUGGGGAAUAUUGCACAAUGGGCGCAAGCCUGAUGCAGCCAUGCCGCGUGUAUGAAGAAGGCCUUCGGGUUGUAAAGUACUUUCAGCGGAGAGGCGUUACCCGCAGAAGAAGCACCGGCUAACUCCGUGCCAGCAGCCGCGGUAAUUC
rnacentral:rRNA from 1 species